AGAGAGAUAAGCUAAAUUUAGAAGCUAUUGAACUCAUAAUUCAAUCAUAGAAAAAAUUCUUCUCCCUA
rnacentral:tRNA from 1 species